rnacentral:rRNA from 1 species
GACGAACGCUGGCGGCGUGCUUAAUACAUGCAAGUCGAGCGAACAGAUGAAGUGCUUGCACUUCUGACGUUAGCGGCGAACGGGUGAGUAACACGUAAGGAAUCUACCUAUAAGCGGGGGAUAACAUUCGGAAACGGGUGCUAAUACCGCAUAAUAUCUUCUUCCGCAUGGAAGAAGAUUGAAAGACGGCUCUGCUGUCACUUAUAGAUGACCUUGCGGUGCAUUAGUUAGUUGGUGGGGUAAUAGCCUACCAAGACGAUGAUGCAUAGCCGGCCUGAGAGGGUGAUAGGCCACAUUGGGACUGAGACACGGCCCAAACUCCUACGGGAGGCAGCAGUAGGGAAUCUUCCGCAAUGGGCGAAAGCCUGACGGAGCAAUGCCGCGUGAGUGAAGAAGGCCUUCGGGUCGUAAAACUCUGUUAUAAGAGAAGAACAAAUUGUAGAGUAACUGCUACAGUCUUGACGGUAUCUUAUCAGAAAGCCACGGCUAACUACGUGCCAGCCGCCGCCGUAA